rnacentral:rRNA from 1 species
UACAGAGGGUGCAAGCGUUAAUCGGAAUUACUGGGCGUAAAGCGUGCGUAGUCGGUUAUUUAAGUCGGGCGUGAAAGCCCCGGGCUCAACCUGGGAAUUGCGUUCGAUACUGGAUAGCUAGAGUUCGGCAGAGGGAAGCGGAAUUUCUGGUGUAGCGGUGAAAUGCGUAGAUAUCAGAAGGAACAUCAGUGGCGAAGGCGAAUCUCUGGACAAUACCUGACACUGAUGCUCGAAAGCUAGGGGAGCAAACGGG